UCCCUGGUGGCUCAGAUGGUAAAGUAUCUGCCUGCAAUGCAGGAGACCCUGGUUUAAUCCCUGGGUUGGGAA
rnacentral:tRNA from 1 species